rnacentral:rRNA from 1 species
AGAGUUUGAUCAUGGCUCAGAACGAACGCUGGCGGCAUGCCUAAUACAUGCAAGUCGAACGAGAUCUUCGGGUCUAGUGGCGCACGGGUGCGUAACGCGUGGGAAUCUGCCCUUGGGUUCGGAAUAACAGUUGGAAACGACUGCUAAUACCGGAUGAUGACGCCAAAGAAAUUUGGAGUCCAAAGAUUUAUCGCCCAGGGAUGAGCCCGCGUAGGAUUAGCUAGUUGGUGGGGUAAAGGCCUACCAAGGCGACGAUCCUUAGCUGGUCUGAGAGGAUGAUCAGCCACACUGGGACUGAGACACGGCCCAGACUCCUACGGGAGGCAGCAGUAGGGAAUAUUGGACAAU